rnacentral:rRNA from 1 species
UACGUAGGGGGCUAGCGUUGUUCGGAAUUACUGGGCGUAAAGCGCGCGCAGGCGGUCUUCCAAGUCAGUGGUGAAAGCCUGGAGCUCAACUCCAGAACUGCCAUUGAAACUGUUAGACUUGAGUACGAGAGAGGUGAGUGGAAUUCCCAGUGUAGAGGUGAAAUUCGUAGAUAUUGGGAAGAACACCAGUGGCGAAGGCGGCUCACUGGCUCGUAACUGACGCUCAGGCGCGACAGCGUGGGGGAUCAAACAGG